rnacentral:tRNA from 1 species
AGGGUAAAAGCAUACGUGCAUCUUAUUUACAAUAAGAAGGAGACCUUGAAGUCUUACCUUA